GAUGAACGCUAGCGGCGUGCCUAAUGCAUGCAAGUCGAACGGGAACCUUUAGAUUCGUCUGAAGGGGAGAGUGGCGAACGGGUGAGUAACACGUUGGUGACCUACCCCAGAGAGGGGGAUAACCAUUGGAAACGAUGGCUAAUACCCCGGAUGUCCCUACUGUUAGAGAGUAGUGACUAAAGCUCCGGCGCUCUGGGAGGGGCCUGCGGCCCAUCAGCUAGUUGGUAGGGUAAUGGCCUACCAAGGCAAAGACGGGUAGGGGGCGUGAGAGCGUGACCCCCCACACUGGUACUGAUACACGGACCAGAUACCUACGGGGUAGCAGCAGCAAGGAAUAUUGCCCAAUGGACGAAAGUCUGAGGCAGCAACGCCGCGUGGAGGAUGAAGGCCUUCGGGUUGUAAACUCCUUUUCUGGGGGAAGAGAAAGGACGGUACCCCAGGAAUAAGUCUCGGCUAACUACGUG
rnacentral:rRNA from 1 species